GUAUCAUCGAGGAACAAGUCUAGUAUUAUAAACUCAUUUUAGUUUUUGUCUACCAAUAUGAAUUCAAUAUGGAAAAACUUGCUCAGGAUCUGAAGAAGGGAUUUCUCCACAUGAUCAACAGUUGCAAAACUACAACUACUACUGAGACGGAAGAUGGAGAACAACCCAAGUUGAGAUCUGUUCAGAAAGUAAGAAGAGGAGGUAGAGGCAUACGCCUCAAAGCUCCGAGAUCUCCAAAACGCCCAGAAGUUCCUAAAGGUCCCCCUCCACAGACCAGUUGAAGCUAAACCCAAAACUUAUAUAAUAAUUUAUAUUUACCUUUUCCUAUAUUUUAUUUUUUUCUUCUUAAAACAAUAAGAGUUUUUUUAGUUUCUUUAGGUGAUGUUGUCUUGUACUAUUCCCAGGGAUAAAAAACAUAUAUGUUUUUCUUCAUCUUCUUAUAAUUCUUUGGCUAGCUAGUAGAUAUUUUCUGCUAAAAUUUUCAACUCGAAUUAAAUAUAUAUAAUUGUGUGUAUUAUUAGUUGUAAACUUUUAACACACAGAUUAAAUAAAGGAAACUGAACUUAAGGAGUGGGUUUUAAUUAAGAGUCCUGAUUAUAUAAUCAAGAAAUACAAUCAGGCAAUUGUGUUAUAAGCUGAAUUGAUUCUAAAAGAAAAAAAAAGGGAAAUUUACAUUAAAUACAUUCUUUAUUACUUUUGUACGGAUGAACGGCUUUAUUUUCUUGCGGUUUGCACUUUAAUUUUAGACCACUUUUUAAUAUUUGUCAAUUUGGUACACAGUUUAGCUUCCCACAACCAAAAUUUCUUUCCUGUUUUCUAUUUUUUUCUUGUCCCUCACGCUUGCCUGUUUCAACCCAUAGUA